rnacentral:rRNA from 1 species
CCUGAGCGUCAGUCUUUGUCCAGGGGGCCGCCUUCGCCACCGGUAUUCCUCCAGAUCUCUACGCAUUUCACCGCUACACCUGGAAUUCUACCCCCCUCUACAAGACUCAAGCUUGCCAGUUUCAAAUGCAGUUCCCAGGUUGAGCCCGGGGAUUUCACAUCUGACUUAACAAACCGCCUGCGUGCGCUUUACGCCCAGUAAUUCCGAUUAACGCUUGCACCCUCCGUAUUACCGCGGCUGCUGGCACGGAGUUAGCCGGUGCUUCUUCUGCGAGUAACGUCAAUCGCUAAGGUUAUUAACCUUAACGCCUUCCUCCUCGCUGAAAGUACUUUACAACCCGAAGGCCUUCUUCAUACACGCGGCAUGGCUGCAUCAGGCUUGCGCCCAUUGUGCAAUAUUCCCCACUGCUGCCUCCCGUAGGAGUCUGGACCGUGUCUCAGUUCCAGUGUGGCUGGUCAUCCUCUCAGACCAGCUAGGGAUCGUCGCCUAGGUGAGCCAUUACCCCACCUACUAGCUAAUCCCAUCUGGGCACAUCUGAUGGCAUGAGGCCCGAAGGUCCCCCACUUUGGUCUUGCGACGUUAUGCGGUAUUAGCUACCGUUUCCAGUAGUUAUCCCCCUCCAUCAGGCAGUUUCCCAGACAUUACUCACCCGUCCGCCGCUCGUCACCCGAGAGCAAGCUCUCUGUGCUA